rnacentral:rRNA from 1 species
GACAAACGCUGGCGGCGUGCCUAACACAUGCAAGUCGAGCGCGAAAGGGACCUUCGGGUCCCCUGAGAGCGGCGAACGGGUGAGUAACACGUGGGCAACCUGCCUCAAGGACUGGGAUAACUCCGUGAAAACGGGGCUAAUACCGGGCGAUGUCGUCGAGCGCAAGCUUGCCGACCAAAUGGUAGCUUCGGCCUCCGCCUUGGGAUGGGCCCGCGUCCUAUCAGCUAGUUGGUGAGGUAACGGCUCACCAAGGCUACGACGGGUAGCUGGUCUGAGAGGAUGAUCAGCCACACUGGGACUGAGAUACGGCCCAGACUCCUACGGGAGGCAGCAGUGGGGAAUUUUGCGCAAUGGGCGAAAGCCUGACGCAGCAACGCCGCGUGAGCGAAGAAGGCCUUCGGGUUGUAAAGCUCUGUCAGGGGGAAAAAAGGCACCUGGGUUAAUAGCCCAAGGGCUGAUGGUACCCCCAAAGGAAGCCACGGCUAACUACGUGCCAGCCGCCGCGGUAAAAC